rnacentral:rRNA from 1 species
GAUGAACGCUGGCGGCGUGCCUAAUACAUGCAAGUCUAACGAAACUUCUUUAUCACCGAGUGCUUGCGCUCACCGAUAAAGAGUUGAGUGGCGAACUGGUGAGUAACACGUGGGCAACCUGCCCACAAGAUGGGGAUAACACUUUGAAACAGGUGCUAAUACCGCAUAACCAUAGUUACCGCAUGGUAACUAUGUACAAGGUGGCUAUACUACCGCUUUUGUAUGUGCUCGCGGCGCAUUAGCUAGUUGGUAGGGUAAAGGCUUACCAAGGCAAUGAUGCGUAGCCGAAUUGAGAGGUUGAUCGGCCACAUUGGGACUGAGACACGGCACAAACUCCUACGGGAGGCAGCAGUAGGGAAUCUUCCACAAUGGGCGAAAGCCUGAUGGAGCAACGCCGCGUGGGUGAAGAAGGUCUUCGGAUCGUAAAACCCUGUUGUUAGAGAAGAAAGUGCGUGAGAGUAACUGUUCACGUUUCGACGGUAUCUAACCAGAAAGCCACGGCUAACUACGUG